UCCUUCAGUAUCUCAUGCCUUGGGCUGGU
rnacentral:piRNA from 1 species